rnacentral:lncRNA from 1 species
CACCGAAAGCACUGUCGCUUUCGGUGGCGGCCUACAGAUGGCAGCACAGGUAGCGCCGGUAAAGUUACAGGUGAUAUUAUUUUGCCGUCCUCAGUUGUCGCCACAUGUGAGUGCUUGCUGCAUUGACGCCGUCCGAUGUAGUUGUUUAAUCGUGUGUACGCUGUUCCGAGAGAAAUUGUGGUGCAUUUUGUAUGCAUUGAGAAUCACAAAACCCCUGGGACCGCGUAAUGUAGCCCGCAGUAUCCUUCGUGUGGUGCGCCGAUGUCGAAGAUAUGACCCUUCGCGCUUCCUUUGUUCCGGGCUCGUGAACAGGAUCUCCUCCUCUGGCACUGUCGCAUCGUAUCGCGCUGUACGGAAGAAUUUGGUGAAAGUUGUGCUCUUACGUCCUGUAGUUGAUCCGCAAUUCAACAGUGUGUGCGCCGGAAGGACCGUUGGUGCAGUCGAUGCCGCGGCACCUGUGACGCUAAAAGGAGCGUUUUCCGAGUACGCCUAGAAAGGGAUGGCAAGAUUUUGUGAACCAGAGGCACCUCCACAUAUGCACCUGCGGCACUUCUGCAGCCUCAACAGCACGGAAAAGUACCUGAUGUGCAUGCUGUGACAAGCUGCUGUAGGUAUGGCUGGACCUGGAGAAGAAGUGUAAGCAGACCAUGCUAUGUUGCUGAUCUGCGCUGAUCUCCACAUCCAAGUUGGUCCCGCGACAGUUGGGCACCAUUGUGCCUUGCUUCAUUGACAAGGCGAUAUAAUAUGGUGCCCUGCUCGCUCUCACCCAAGCAACCCACUCCAGCGGUCUUCUCUCGGCAGACUGGAUGCAUCGAAAUACCGUUAGAAGGUCCAAUAAACAGUGCUUGGGACAUUUA